rnacentral:rRNA from 1 species
AGAGUUUGAUCCUGGCUCAGAGCGAACGUUAGCGGCGGGCUUAACACAUGCAAGUCGAACGCGAAAGCUCCUUCGGGAGCCGGUAGAGUGGCGCACGGGUGAGUAACACGUAGAUAAUCUAUCCUUUGGCGGGGGACGACUGUGCGAAAGCGCAGCUAAUACCGCGUAAGACCCCAGCUUCUUCGGGAGCGGAGGUAAAAGGUGGCUUCGGCUACCGCCAGAGGGUGAGUCUGCGCAGCAUCAGCUAGUUGGUGGGGUAAUGGCCUACCAAGGCAAAGACGCUUAGCUGGUCUGAGAGGAUGAUCAGCCACACUGGCACUGGAACACGGGCCAGACUCCUACGGGAGGCAGCAGUGGGGAAUAUUGGACAAUGGGCGAAAGCCUGAUCCAGCCACGCCGCGUGAGUGAUGAAGGCCUUCGGGUUGUAAAGCUCUGUGGGGAGGGACGAAAACGGCAUGCAAGAUAACGGUGUGUCCUUGACGGUACCUCCUUAGCAAGCACCGGCUAACUCUGUGCCAGCAGCCGCGGUAAGACAGAGGGUGCAAACGUUGCUCGGAAUCACUGGGCGUAAAGCGCGUGUAGGCGGAUUCGAAAGUCAGGUGUGAAAUCCCUGGGCUCAACCUAGGAACUGCAUCUGAAACUUCGAGUCUUGAGUGUCGGAGAGGGAAGCGGAAUUCCGGGUGUAGAGGUGAAAUUCGUAGAUAUCCGGAGGAACACCAGAGGCGAAGGCGGCUUCCUGGACGACAACUGACGCUGAGACGCGAAAGCGUGGGGAGCAAACAGGAUUAGAUACCCUGGUAGUCCACGCUGUAAACGAUGAGUGCUAGAUGUCUUGGGUAUUGACUCCUAAGGUGUCGUAGCUAACGCGUUAAGCACUCCGCCUGGGAACUACGGCCGCAAGGCUAAAACUCAAAGGAAUUAACGGGGGCCCGCACAAGCGGUGGAGCAUGUGGUUUAAUUCGACGACGCGCAGAACCUUACCCGGGCUAGAAAAAUAAGGAAUCCAAUAGAAACAUUGGAGUGCUCGCAAGAGAACCCUAGUCAGGUGCUGCAUGGCUGUCGUCAGCUCGUGUCGUGAGAUGUUGGGUUAAGCCCCGCAACGAGCGCAACCCCUAUCGUUAGUUGCCAUCAGUUCGGCUGGGCACUUUAGCGAGACUGCCGGCGUCAAGCCGGAGGAAGGUGGGGAUGACGUCAAGUCCUCAUGGCCCUUAUGUCCGGGGCUACACACGUGCUACAAUGACCGGUACAAAGUGCAGCGACCUCGUGAGAGCAAGCGAAUCACAAAAAGCCGGUCUCAGUACGGAUUGCAGUCUGCAACUCGACUGCAUGAAGCCGGAAUCGCUAGUAAUCGUUGAUCAGCAGGCAACGGUGAAUACGUUCCCGGGCCUUGUACACACCGCCCGUCACACCAUGGGAGUCGACUGCUCCAGAAGUGGCCGUGCUAACCCGCAAGGGAGGCAGGUCCCCAAGGAGUGGUCGGUAACUGGGGUGAAGUCGUAACAAGGUA